rnacentral:tRNA from 1 species
GAGGGUAUAGCUCAGCAGUAGAGUGCAUGCCUAGCAUGCAUGAGGUCCUGAGUUCAAUCCCCAGUAUCUCCA